rnacentral:rRNA from 1 species
UACGUAGGGUGCAAGCGUUGUCCGGAAUUAUUGGGCGUAAAGAGCUCGUAGGCGGUCUGUUGCGUCGGCUGUGAAAACCCGGGGCUCAACUCCGGGCCUGCAGCCGAUACGGGCAGACUAGAGUUCGGCAGGGGAGACUGGAAUUCCUGGUGUAGCGGUGAAAUGCGCAGAUAUCAGGAGGAACACCAGUGGCGAAGGCGACUACCUGGCCUGUUCUUGACGCUGAGGCGCGAAAGCUAGGGGAGCAAACGGG